AGGGAUGUAGCUCAAAUGGUAGAGUGCUUGCUUAGCAUGCGAGAGGUAUGAGGAUCGAUACCUAACAUCUCCA